AGUGAACGCUGGCGGUAGGCCUAACACAUGCAAGUCGAACGGCAGCACAGUAAGAGCUUGCUCUUACGGGUGGCGAGUGGCGGACGGGUGAGGAAUACAUCGGAAUCUACUUUUUCGUGGGGGAUAACGUAGGGAAACUUACGCUAAUACCGCAUACGACCUACGGGUGAAAGCAGGGGAUCUUCGGACCUUGCGCGAUUGAAUGAGCCGAUGUCGGAUUAGCUAGUUGGCGGGGUAAAGGCCCACCAAGGCGACGAUCCGUAGCUGGUCUGAGAGGAUGAUCAGCCACACUGGAACUGAGACACGGUCCAGACUCCUACGGGAGGCAGCAGUGGGGGAUAUUGGACAAUGGGCGCAAGCCUGAUCCAGCCAUACCGCGUGGGUGAGGAAGGCCUUCGGGUUGUAAAGCCCUUUUGUUGGGAAAGAAAAGCAGCAGGUUAAUACCCCGCUGUUCUGACGGUACCCAAAGAAUAAGCACCGGCUAACUUCGUG
rnacentral:rRNA from 1 species